rnacentral:rRNA from 2 species
AAACUUCCAACAACGGAUCUCUUGGCUCUGGCAUCGAUGAAGAACGCAGCGAAAUGCGAUAAGUAAUGUGAAUUGCAGAAUUCAGUGAAUCAUCGAAUCUUUGAACGCACAUUGCGCCCGCCAGUAUUCUGGCGGGCAUGCCUGUUCGAGCGUCAUUA